GCAUUUUUACUAGAAAACGUGAAGCAUAUGAGAAAGUAGAGGUUCAUAAAAAGUCUCUCCCUGUUUAUGAAUUAUCAACAACUAAUUCCAGUAUUGAAAUAUCUCAUUUUUCUUCCAAAUGAAUAUUGAUUUG